GUAGAAGCUGACCUUGACCAGUUAGCAAUGUGUUAUUUAUAAAAAACAAAAGGUGACGGGAUUUGGACGUUAUGAAUCUCAACUUUUGAUAUAAAAGGAGGUGACUAAAUAGAAUAGUUUUAUAUUCACCUCCGAAGAUCACCAAAUAUGAGACAAAUUAUUGUUCUGGCCGUUGUCAUCGCAUUAGUGGCGGGAGCAGCCGUACCAUCCAAAUACUGGAAAACCAGACAUGACUACUAUUCUCCUACCGAAAUACUCAAUUUGCGCAUUGACGUAGAUAACAUUGGACUCGGAAACAGAUACGAUUAUGAACAAAUAGACGGCACAAGACAAGAACAAGAAGGAGACUUCACAAACGAAGGACCCGAAGAGGAGGCUAUAGUGGUCAAAGUUUCUUUUUCGUGGGUGGCACCAAAUGGCGUGAGGUACACUGUGACCUACACCUCUGGUGACGAAGGAGACCCAACGUUGGAGGAAGGUCCCGGUUCCGGUCCCGGUUCCGGUCCCGGUUCCGGUCCCGGUGCCGAACAGGACGAGAGUCCCAUUCUUCCAAGUGAUCUUUAUCCUUCACUAUUAGGUUAGAUAAAUGCGUUGUUAUAAUUGUAAUUAAAUUUUUGUUAGUUAAUGUCGUUAGACAUAGUUAAUGUCGGUUUCAUGUACACCCUGUGGCCAAAAUGUGUUUAAAAUGUUAGAUCUGGUAUUUGUUAAUCGUUAAUUGUUAUUAGUGUGUGUAAAUCGUCAAAGCCUCUGUGACUACAAUUUUUUAUCGACGUGAGCAAUGUCGAAGACGGUAUAUUAAAUAUCAAGGAAAUAGAUAUACAAAUUGUAUGCAAGCAACAAGCGUAUCAUCAUUAGUAGCACCAUUAGUUUUUUAAAGUUCUGUUCAAAGAAAAAAUCAUGACUUUUCAAUAAUUCUGAUUAAAGUUCUAUUUCCCAUAUGUGAGGCAGCUCUUUUGACUUGUCUCGGGAUUAUUCCAGCUCUCACCUCUGCAAUGACUGAAUUCAAUAAUUAGGUACAAGUAUUUAAUAGAGCAUAGCAGUGUUGGCCUUCAGCGUGCGACUCUAAGACGAAAAAUGUACAAGAAAAAUCUUUAAAUCUAAUGAAUUAAUUAUAAUUUAUUUCAAUUUCUACGGUUGUUAAUUGAAAUUUGUUGAAUUAAACGCCUUAAAACAACUUUCCGAUUUUCAUACGAUCAAGAUAGCGUAUACCUACUGCAUUAUGCCAGUCGACAUUAUUUUGCUGCAUCUCGCUGUGGGGAGGAGUUAGGAGCAGCAUCGUCUUCAAUCCUGAAACCAGCUGAAACCUUUUCGCUUUUUUUAACUUUAAAAUUGUAUGAUGAAACUUAACAGUUAUACUUUUUUGGAAAUAAACACUGACCACACCCCAUCAUACACAACGCAAAGCUACAUAAAACGUACUUUCUUCGGCCAACGUUUUUCAUCAUUAACAUUUUAAAAACAAAAUUUUCACUCUCGAUUCUAAACUUUAUAUAUUUCCUAAGAAUCUUAAGCAACGUUUUCUAAAGCUGUCUAAUGCUCAAAACUAAACUUUGCUUCUUGUGGAACAGUAGGUAGUAAAAUUGUAGAUUUUAUUACCUUAAGUACCUACCUACCUAUAGUGAUAAGUAUGUCAAAUGAAAGACACAACUGGCCCACGACACAGGGAAUCCCAGUGGGGGCUAGUAAUUAAUAUAUUAUUAACAUCUUAUGUAAUAGGUAGUUUAUUCUACUUGUUCUUUACCUUUUUGGUGUGCUUAGAUAUUAUGUUACCACUGCUUUACCAACGCUCAGAGACGAAAUUAAUUAACUUAACAUCGGUAAGCAUCGAGAACAAUAGGUAUAUUUAUAAUAUUAAAUUUUUUACUGACUC